UACGUAGGGUGCGAGCGUUAAUCGGAAUUACUGGGCGUAAAGUGUGCGCAGGCGGCCGAGCAAGUCGAGUGUGAAAGCCCCGGGCUUAACUUGGGAAUUGCGCUCGAAACUACUUGGCUGGAGUGUGGCAGAGGAAGGUGGAAUUCCAGGUGUAGCGGUGAAAUGCGUAGAUAUCUGGAGGAACACCGGUGGCGAAGGCGGCAUCCUGGACCAACACUGACACUGAGGAGCGAAAGCCAGGGGAGCAAACGGG
rnacentral:rRNA from 1 species